rnacentral:rRNA from 1 species
GAUGAACGCUGGCGGCGUGCCUAAUACAUGCAAGUCGAGCGAACAGACGAGGAGCUUGCUCCUCUGACGUUAGCGGCGGACGGGUGAGUAACACGUGGAUAACCUACCUAUAAGACUGGGAUAACUUCGGGAAACCGGAGCUAAUACCGGAUAAUAUAUUGAACCGCAUGGUUCAAUAGUGAAAGACGGUUUUGCUGUCACUUAUAGAUUGAUCCGCGCCGCAUUAGCUAGUUGGUAAGGUAACGGCUUACCAAGGCAACGAUGCGUAGCCGACCUGAGAGGGUGAUCGGCCACACUGGAACUGAGACACGGUCCAGACUCCUACGGGAGGCAGCAGUAGGGAAUCUUCCGCAAUGGGCGAAAGCCUGACGGAGCAACGCCGCGUGAGUGAUGAAGGUCUUCGGAUCGUAAAACUCUGUUAUUAGGGAAGAACAAAUGUGUAAGUAACUAUGCACGUCUUGACGGUACCUAGUCAGAAAGCCACGGCUAACUACGUG